UCAAACAUUGAUUGCUAUGGCUUUGCAUUAAAUCUAUAAAAGGCUCACACAUGAAGUCCUCAAUACGCUUUUCGUUGGCCAUAAGUGAAAUGUGAUCUUCAUGCUAAUGUUUUAAGUUUGUCUCUUUGUCUCCUGCUGCUUUUCUCCAGAGACUCUGACACUGAAGAGAAGGAUACCUUAGACAUGAAUGACUCUUGUUUUCUUCCAUUCGUUCCUUAUUUACUGACUCACCAUCUUUUCAGUGCUUAUUGCGUGUUUAUGUCCCAACACAAAUGCCCUCCACUGCUGGGAAAGGCCACUGAAAGCAACUUAUCAGAGCAGUCAAACCCGCCUUUCCCUUUCAUGGCCAUUAUUUCACACUGACUCGUUUCCGCUUCUCCUGCCUCCUCUCCAGGCCAACAGAGCGAGACGGCGCAAACUGGUCGAGCCAUCCACCUCCUCACUCUCUGCUGCCCACCCCCUGCUUCCCUGCUUCAUCAAUCUCUGCCUGAUGUUCCACACGCUUGUCCGCCAACUUCCCUUCCUCCAUUCGUUAUUCUCUCCCUCGGUAGCUCAUGUUUUCCUCUGCCCUCCUGCAUCUUGGAACGGCAACAUCGCCCUGUUGCCAUGACAGCGAAGGAACAGGCACCUGUGGCAUUCUCGUCGUUGCCAUGCCAACAUGUUGGUGGGAAGGCAGAGGAUAUAGAGGCCCAGCAACGUUCAGUUUUAAUUCUGCUUCCAACUCACACUGGACCACGUGACUUGUGUCGUGACCAGACUCAGAGUCCACUCUCGCAGGCUAUUACAGACAUUUCACCAUCUGUCUACCCACUGCUCAUUACCUGGAUGGGGUGUAGCUGUAAUUUUCUAGCAUCCUGCUGUGAUACAAACAUAAUGGAGUGAAUUGUGUUACAGCCAGGGGCUCAGCACCUACAACCUGUAGAAUUUAACUUCAGCCACACAUAAGAGCAGCUGAUUAGCACCUCUGCAGGGCUGUUAAUCAGCGUAAGGAAAGACUGCAGACUGUCAGAGCUGCCUGAUCCAGAUAAAUGUGUAGUUCAGAGAUCAUCACAGACAUAUAAAAAAGAAACAGCACGGAAGGAACAUUUCACUGUAUGCUCUCACCUCAUCACUAUGACUCUGCAGACGUCUGCUGUCAUUACCCAGUGGGUGAUGUUUCCGUCAGCCCCCGUUAGACCGAAGCAAUUAGUGUGUGUUGAUGUGCGCUGCGGUGUAAACAUUGUGACUGUGACUGAUAGUUAACAUUAUCAUCCUUUUAGAGUCGGCAUCAGGGUUGUUAUGUUUAUGUGGGUGCACAUAAUAAAUGUGUGCGUGUGUGUGUUCUGUCGUGCAUGCACCAACAUAAAGGUCUCAGUGAAACUAGUUUGUCUGUCUGAGCAAAGGUCGUUUCUACAGUGAUGCGUGAUGGAUUCCUCACAAACCAGAAGUUAUUGUCAUUGCAAAACAGAGAAGAAUAUUCAUGAGAGAGCCAGAGGCGGAAGGAUGCAUUCACCCAACGUCUAGACACUGUUGAUGUACGAAGAAAGUUGACUUUAAAACAAAACACCUGAAACAGUGAGUGAGAUCAGGAUUGUAUAAUUAAUACUUAAUGAAAAUAUAAUAGAAAAUAAAUAAAAUAGAUAUAUAACAGCAGGAGGAAAUAGAAAAUCACCUUACAGCUAAUCAGUUUACCAGUUUACCAGUUAUCUAAUUUCAAGCCCCUUGAAGUCAGUAAUGGACUUGUUGGGCCUGUCAUCAAUGUUGAUGGGAUGAAUUUUUUGCGCCUUGUAAAAAAAACAACAAGCAUGAGUCGAUACAGACGAUGGAUGUACCGUAUGGAAAUGCAGUGUCCAUCAAUAAUUCACGGGCAGCUUUGAAGUUCUGCCCUUCGCUCUGUCGGCUCAGCCUUCGAUGCGUCACUCAUAACACCUCAUACAAACAUGUAAAUGUACAGUAGAGCCUUGGAGUGAGGUGUUGCAUAAACUAUAAUGCAUAAUACGUACUGUACAAUGAACACAAAGAUAAGUAUAACUUGCAUGAUCUAUGUGAAUCAGCAGCACAGUUUGAUGACUGGUCACAUGAGGACUUUUGGCUGAUGCUGUUUUCGUCCUUCACCUUCAUGGAACCUCAUUCAUAUUUCUGUUUGCAUUCAGCUACCGUAGGGUUUAGUUCUUAGUCAUUUGGCGCUUUCGUCUCUUCAUUCCGCUUCUUUACAGUCUUCAGUACUUGACCCUCAGAGACUCAUCCCAAUGCUUGUCAGGAAACCCAUGCGCAUCAGCUAUUCACCUCCUCGUCUCAGCAGCCAGACUAACUCAUCCCCCGCUCGGCUUUCUCAUUUCAGCCCCCUCUCGCUCCUGUCCACAAAACCUACUGCUGCCAUACGUCAUCGCUCCGCACACCUCCCUUCAUCCCCCCUUGGUCUUGUCUCACCUCGUCCUCCCUCUGGUCAUGUAACUUCUCCCUCCUUCCUUCCUUCAGUCUCACUUUGAUGACUAUCUUUCUACACUUCCCGCCAGAAGUUAUUAUUUUUUAUGUGUGCAUUAUAUAGCUAUGAUUAGAUUACAGUAAAUGGAAAAAGUUCAGUUAAGUUUCUACUUUAAAGCUGCUACAUUAUAAUAAAAGAUGGUUCAAACGCAAAAGCUUCCUCUCCAUCGUCUGGAGAUGCUCAUGAGUGUCAUGGAUCCAGCGUUUGGGAUCAGUUUCCGGCCUUAUUUUGGUAUUUCCUGUUUUAUUGUCAUGCUCUCCCUGUUUUGCUAUGUCUUGUUUAGUUCCUGCUUUACUUCCGGCUCUCAUUAGUCACCACCUGCAAGUUUUCAGUAAUUAUCUCUGUAUUCAAGCACCAGUACUCACCUCGUGCCACCAUUCCAGCGUUCAUGUCCAGUAAGUCCGGUCGUGUACCAGUUUUCGAACCGUGUUUUGACCUAGCCUUGCCUGCUCCCUUUCUUCUUGUUUUGGACUCUCGUUCCUGAACCUUGUUUGUGGACUGACCUCCUUUGCUUGAUCCCUGCCUGUAGUGUCACCACCAUCUGCGUUAACCUGUGUACCGACCUCUGCCUGUUUGACCACUUGCUGUAUUAAACCUCCACAAAGACUAAAUCCGUGUGUGCUGUGCGUCUGGGUCCUUCACCUUGAUCUGUGACAAUGAGGGGUCUGAUUUUUAAAAUAUAAAAUUGCAGCACAGCUUGGAGUGCAUUGCACUUUGAAGUUGUCAGUUUGUGUGUGUAAAAUACAGUAAUACAGAGAUCUUAUAUUUCUAUUAUAUGUUUGGAUGUAACUUUGUUGAGUCUAUUAAUAAC